CACAAACAUCCCAAAUGACUUGAAAAUUAUCGCUGAUAGCUCGAGGGAAUAGCUCUUCUUUAAUCAGUGGGCCUUGUGUUGAGAAAUCAGUUUUUGUUAUUCAUAUUUGCUGUGCAAUAAAGCCUUGGAUAACAAAAUUAAAUGCCCCAAGUAAACAUAGUAAGAGAGUGCACUGCACUGAUACAAAGGUCCCUCUUAACCUAAACAUGGCCAUCAAAUCCAAAGCAGGGAUAUACUGGAGGCCAAUGGUUGGCAUAUAAGACUAAAAUGUUCACAGGUAAAAUGAUUAGUUCCAUUUCAAAACAAUGCUGAUCAUUUGGAAAAAUGUGGUGUGUGAGUGUGGGUACUCAAAUGGCCAAAAAUAUUACACCCUUUAAUCAUGCGGAUCAUUGCGUCAUAAAGACAUUUGAGCUCAACUGAAAGACACCAACAGAGGAAAACAAUUUGGCAUUCUCAUGUGCUGUAACCGCCAGCUACAAAAUACCUACAGACCUAUGGAAGACGCAGGACAAGAUAUUAGCUGGACUUCAAUUAUUGAGGGUUGCAA